AAGGAGUUAGUUAAAAUAUAACAUUAGAGUGUCAAUCUAAAAUAACUAAAAUAGUACACCUUG
rnacentral:tRNA from 1 species